CUCUCUUCUAAACCCUAUUUAAGGGCUGACUCCGAUGGAGGAAGAUUCUCUUUCUGGACAUUACUCCUCUUGGAGCCUUCUCAGUGAGCUCAGGGCACAACAAGAAGAUCCUAGAAAACAAGGAGUUAUCCUAUUGGAGUCUGGGAUGCAUGCUGGGAGAGCAGCAUGCACCAUCUGCAUCUGGCCAGCCUGCAGGCCAAAUCUCCAUCUGAGCAGCAUCCUUGUAUCACAUCCGAGUAUGAAAUCCACAUUGCACUGCCUCUGUUUCUGGGACCCAUCCAUCUUGAACAAAGUUUUCAACUUAUUCAGACAAAGGACAUUGAAAGGAAUUUCAGAAAAAGCCUUGAUCAGGAAAAAAAAGUCUUGAUACGUACUGAAGAACCAUCAUGAGGUGCCUGGUCUUGGAGAUAUCAGCUUCAGCUUACUCAAAAGUCCAGCCUGAAGUGAAAUGGAAAAGGGAAUCGCUGCAGAAUCUCUCUGUCCAUAAACAAGGACUGGACAUUUCCAUCUGACUAGGUAAACAAUACAAUACAAGGGUCAGAAAAAUGUGUUGCUCUAAGCAGGUGCCCUAGAGGGACUGUGGUAAAGAACAGGCUCUAGCCAGCCUGAAAAAUAAGGCUUACAGACAUAUAUGGGACCUACUGUGGGUACAUCACAGCUCAGGAUAAUUUGUGUAUAAUUUUUUUUAGGAUAUUUAAGUGGCAAAGGUGCCCUUUGAUGUAAAUGCCUUGCACACAUUUUUGCUCUGUUAUGCUGGAGGAAAUAAGUGAUGAGCUGUGAGUGCCCAUACACAGGUGGAUCCCCAAGAAACGCAGCUGGGCAAGGGCACUGUGUGAUCUGUGCCACUAGUUUCACUACCUGGGAGAGCCUGCAUGUGGAAUUUCACAUCCUAAGGAAAGGCUGGCAAAAGGCACACCAGAGCUGCAAUCAGAGAUGAACUAUUACAGCACUCCAUCCGCCUUGAGCCGUAUGGACUCUCACUAAAAGAUGUGCCCUAGUCCAGAUUCACUCAGCCUGAGAUGAAGGCAGUAAAUCUGGAGAUGGAAAUGGUCUGCAGCCAAUAUUUUGGAAUGCAAUGUGUGAUACAAGAUCAACUAAUGAGAUCAUCCAGACGGAUUUGUGAUCAAAUUCAGAACUGGAGAAAUUCCUGACCCAAGAUGAACUUCCGCAUUUUGAAUCUUGUUUUCAUUCUAACUUGGGAUGAGAAGUCAAAAUUUGAACAAACAAAACCUAGAAUACAAAUUCAGAGGAUAAGACAAAAAUAUAUCAAAAGAUAGGCCCAGUGACAGGACAAGGGGCAACGGCUACAAACUGGAACACAGGAUCUUACAACUGAACGUGAGAAAAAACUUGACUGUGAGACUGAUGAAGCACUGGAACAAGCUGGCCAGAGAGGCUGUGGAGUGUCCUUCUCUGGAGAUAGUCAAAACCUGCCUGGACACUUUCCUGUGUAGCCUGCUGUAGGGAGCUGCUUUAGCAGCAGGUUGGACCAGGUGAUCUCCAGAGGUCCCUUCCAACCCCUAUGAUUCUGUAAUUCUGUGUUACAGAAAUAGCCUUUUAAUGGCAUUUCUGGCAUGAUAAAAUUUGCAGCGUAACAAUAAAAGGGAAAUGAGACAACUGAAAAGAAAUUGAGGUUUGUGCUGCAAUAUCCCACUUUUAUGUUAAGCAUUUUCGCUUUUUUAAAAUUUUGCAUCAGGAUUGAUACAUUCCCAUUACGCAAAGAAAUUUUAGGGAAAUUAAUUUCCCAUUUCUUGUG
ensembl:lncRNA